GUACUCACUUCAGCAGCAUGUACACUAAAAUUGGAACAAUACAAAGAAAAUUAGCACAGCCCUGUAUAAGGAUGACACACAAAUCAUGAAGCAAGUCAUAUUUUU
rnacentral:snRNA from 1 species